UGACUCUUCCUUUUGAUCAUUUAUUCUAUAGAGGUAAAUGGCAUUGGAUGGGCCAUCCACCUCCACCUCAACCUCCUCAAGGCCUUCUCGAGGGACAGACAAGAUUCGUACUGACACUAUAAGGGCGCUGUACAAGUGCAACUUGGAGCUGGACAACGAUAUUAAAGUCUUGGUGAAAAAAAAAUUGAAGAUCGAGAUCCAGCUCCUCGAGAGGCAACUGCAUGGCGAUGCCACGGCUAAUAAAUAAAAUAAUUGAACACGAGC